rnacentral:lncRNA from 10 species
GUGCAGCCUCCAUCCAGCUUCGGAAACAAGAGGCCCUUGUACUCUUCCUCCACAGCCUUCUCAACCUCAGGAAGUCAGUCCCUGGGAGCCAUGAAGUGCAGCAAUGACAGGCCCAUCUGGAGAAGACAUGACGGCUGGGUCUGCAGGACCCAGCUGAACUCAGGAGCAGAUUUGGGGAUGGCAAUCAGGCCACUCUUGCUCAGGACUUCAAGGGAUUUCCUAGAGGACCAGCCCAUCAUUCUCUAGAGUUCAGCCCAAACCCUCUGGUGUUCUGCCUCCAUCCCUGACUGGUGGGUGAGAUUCUUGGUGUCCUGGUGUCCCCGGGCUCACUGUUGCCCGCACCCCAUCACUGGUAUGUAACUUCCCCCUAUCUGCAGCUGCUCCAGCGGGAACUACCAUAUGAUUGCUUCAUUUCCAGGGGGUCCACACCCCUUUCCUGUGCUCCCCUCCUAUCCACUCCCUGCUGGUGGAGGGGGAACCACAGGACUUGCUGGAAGACCCUGGGAGGAAAGGGCUCUUUGCUAAACCGGCUUAGUGGAGGGCUCUCACCUCAUGUCUCCUACCUGGCACAUCUCGCUGAGCCUGCAAUUGUACACACCAGGUACAUACAGUGAGUCUUUGCAAAAGGAAGGAAGGCCAGGGCUGAUUUGGCAAUGCUUGUCAAGAGACACUCAUAUCCUUUGACCUAAUAAUUCCACUCCUGGGAAUUGCUUCCAGAGAAAUAAUUCAAAAGAAGGAAAAAGAUACAUGUACUGUUUAUAGCUAUGUUAUUUGUAAUAAGGAGAAAGUAAAAGCAAAUGCUGUGUUCCAAAAUAGAAAAAUGAUUAAAUAAUUAUGAUAUAUUUGUAUAACAGAGUGUCGUGAAGACAUUUACAAUGAAAAUAUGACUAUGAGGAACAAGAAUACUGACCUGGAAAUAAUGUUAAGAGAAAAGAUAGAGUACAGAGUUGUAUAUACACUGAUUAAAAUUAUGUAAGAAUUAUGCAUUUGGCUAAAACUAAUAAAGAUGUGGA